CCCACCUGGAAGUCAUACAAUUCUUUGGCCUUCUGGGCUGAUUAUCAAAUGGUCUUCCUCUAAGGCCACUUAACAGCCAGUACUAAGGCACAGAUGUUGCAGAACUUUGACAAUAACCAGUCAUUCUUUCUGAACAAAAAACAAAUUUCUUUGCUUACGUGAUAAUAUUUUAGAGUCUGCGUGAAAGUCUUACAUUCAGAGAAACGCCACAGUUCUGGCACCAGGAAUGAAGGCGCCAUCUGGCCCCUCUUGGGCUCCUUGGCUUGAAUUCCUGGGGUCAUUGUUACACUCAGCAUUCUCUAGGCGAAGGAGAACAAUAAGAGGCAGGUAAAGCUGGAGCCCGUAACAGGAGGAAACGUGAGCAUUGAAAACCCGCCCUUUGGAUGAACUGACCACAGCUGGACAACACCAGUGCCAGGCCAGGGUUCCAAGCACUGCAGAGAUGAAGCACCUUCUUCCAGGAGUUCCUGGAGUUCUCAGAAGCCAGAGUGGACUUGUUCCUCCGUUUUAUUUGAUGAGGUUCUAAAUAUAGCUGGGCAAGGCUUCGGAUUUUAGUGGGAGAUGGCCAGAGGCGAAGCAACUGAUAAAAGUAGCUGAAUAGCUCUCCCUCUCUGAGCUAGGUGCAAGCUCCUGACGUAGGAAGCGAUCCCUCCUUGCCACAGAUAACCCACGUAGCCAGGUGCUGCCAAGCAGCUUCCACCUGGAGGAGGGCAGCUGCUCUGCGCAUGACCAGUAGCUGUGGAUGGCAUCGUCGAGGCAUCUGGAGGAAGCUGCAGCCCCACAAGGCCCCUGACCCCUCUGCCUUUCCCUCUGCUGGCUCCUCUUCCUCCCUCUUUCCCUGCUGUCCCCUGUAGAGAACUUUCUACCAGUCCACACACCAACCUAGGUGCAGCCCCCCUGCGUGACUCCCUCCCUGACUAUCAUAACCAUGGCCAGCAGUAUCUCCACAUCUCUGCCCAGAUCCCCCUGGGAAGGCUUAUCCCAGGCCCCAGGUUUGGGGCAAUGCCCAGUGGCAUCGGAUGGGGUCCCCCUUGAAAGGAAGCACAGAAAGACUGAGCCAUCAACGUAGUCCCCUCCAUCACCUGCCACUGUCCCCAAAAUCUCCCACACCGGAAGUGUUUAGAUUGUCUAAGGACAAUAUUGUCUAGGGUUUGAGGACCACCCCACAGCAAAAACACUAGAAAGCUAGUUCCAAAAUGCAAAUCCCAGGCCAAGCCCCUCACCUCCUGAGGCAGCAUCCCUGGGUAUAGAUCUCAGAAAUCUGCAGUUUUAAUACAAAGGCCCCCUAAACUUAAAGAAACAGCCUGAAUUCACAUGGGCACACCUUACCUGAGCAGGCAAUACAGUGACAAGGGUGGAAACAGAGGGGACGAGACCUGACACUGGGAAGGCCUGACAGAGGGAAGGAAGGAAAGCUCUCAGGCUAAGGGCGCUGGGAACCCCACUCUUCCCUCUAGGGAGUUGCCGUUCCCUGAGGGGCCUGAGGAGCCUCCUCCUGAAGCCCCAGCUAUUCAAAUUACACCUUUUCUUAUUAGGACAUCAGGAGGUGUUGCCCCUUAGCUUUCCAUUCUAACCUCCUCAAUGUAGGGGCCUUGCUGGUGUCGAGGACAGAGCGGAGGCCUCAAGGGUAUGUGCAGUCUAGGUGGCCUUGGUGGAGGGGCAGGAUUCUACAUUUGGGAGGGGACUUCUUGCUGAACUCCUUCCAGAUGGGUCAAAUGGGGUAGACUGAGGGAGUGGUGUGGGAGGUGGUAAAGAACCAAGUAGGGACUGGAUGGAUCCUGGGAGUUUACAGGGCUGCCUCGGAGAGGGAGGGUGCUGAGAGAGAGGAGACCAGGGUGGGCACCAACGCGAUCCCUGCAGGCUAUGAGUGUAGGAUCAGAGAGGGUUAAGGGCCAGAAGCCCCUGUGUGUUUAGGACUGUGGCACCAUGGGUGCAUCCCCUGAGAAGCGAAGCUCAGGCAGGAGCAGCAGUGGGCAAAGAGCCUGGUGGUGCAGGUGCAGGCCCUGUAGAGGAGGCAGUGACAACACCCAGCCCAGGCCGACUCUCUCUGCCUGUCCCCUGAGUCCCCUGGCACCUCUCCACAUCUGCUCAGCCCUCCCAGUUAACCUAGCACUGGUAGAUGGUUGAUAUGAUUUGGAUCUGUGUCCCCAAAUCUCAUGUUGAAUUCUAAUCCCCAGUGUUGGAGGUGGGGCCUGGUGGGAGGUGAUUGGAUCAUGGGGGUGAAUCCUUCAUGAAUGGCUUAGCUUUAUCCCCUUAAUGCUGUUCUUGUGGUAGUGAGGGAAUUCUUGCAAUAUCUGGUUGUUUAAAAGUGUGUAGCACUUCCCCCCCAACACUCUUUUGUUCCUGUUCCAACUGUGUGAAGUGCUCACUCCCCCUUUGCCUUCUGCUAUGACUGUUAAGUUUCCUGAGGCCUUCCCAGAAGCUGAGCAGGUGUCAGCAUCAUGCUUUCUGUAUAGCCUGAGGAACCAUAAGCCAAUUAAACCUCUUUUCUUUAAAAAUUACCCAGUCUGAGAUAUUUCUUUUCUUUUCUUUGAGACAGGGUCUGGCUCUGUCACCCAGGCUGGAGCGUAGCUGCACCUCUGCCUCCAGGGCUCAAGUGAUCCUCCCACCUCAGCCUCACAAGUCACUGGGACCACAGCACGUGCCACCACACCCAGCUAAUGUUUGCUUUCUUUGUAGAGACAGGGUUUCACCAUGUUGCACAGGCUGGUCUCAAACUCCUGAGCUCAUGCGAUUCUCCUGUCUUGGCCUCCCAAAGUGAUGGGAUUACAGGUUUGAGCCACUGCACUCAUCCUAGGUAUUUCUCUAUAGCAAUGCAAGAAAAACUAAUACGAAGGUGAAUCCAUCUGCAGAUCCAGACUCCACAGGAAGCCAGCAAGUGUGAUUGCGGGCUCUGCUGCAUUUCAGGGGCGGUUCUAUACUUGGCACGUGCAUGCUUUCCCCAGCCUAGCAUAUUAGCCUGCUGGGGCUACUAUAACAAAAUACCACAAACUGAGUGGCUUAAUACAACUGAAAUGCAUUCUCUCACACUUCUAGUGGCCAAAGUCCAAGAUCAAAGUUUUGGCAGGGUUGGCUCCUUCUGGACACUCAGAGGGAGAGUCUGUCCUGUGUCUCUCCCCUGGCUUCUCCUGGUUGCUGGCAACCCUUGGCAUUUUUUGCUUAUAAAUGCAUCCCUCUUAUCUCAGCCUGUACUGUCACGUGACCUUCUUCCCUGUGCAUCUGUCUCUUGUCCUCUUCUUCUAAGGACAGCAGUCAUAUUGGAUUAAGGGCCCAGCCACUCCAGCAUGACCUCCUCUUAACUUGAUGGCAUUCAAAGCCAUCAGGUUUGGAAACAAGGUCACAUUACCAGGGACCGGAGGCUAGGACUUGAAGAUACCCUUUGGGAGGAGACACCUGCAACGUUUGGAUUGGAGAAGACUCAGUGACCUUCUGGGAUGUCGUUUACCCUCCCUGGGCUGCAGCUUCCUUGUUUGUAGAGGAAGAGGUUAAAUUAAACAAUCUCUUCCAGGUCUCAUGGUCUUCGAAUCUGUUUUCUCCUCUGCUGUUUUCUCAGCUUCCUUCUCCCGAUGGAAAUAGGGGGCCAGUGUAUUUCCCCUGCCUCCCCUCCCUCUCAGCCCUGCUUUCAAGUCUUAGAGCUGGCAAGGGCUUUGUGCAAUACUCCAGGUCCUACCCUCAAUUUCUGGUGGAACAACAGAAUAAGCGGUCUCUGCAUGCACACAAAUCCCUUCAGCUCCGUCUGGGCCCAGCGGCAGCUGACCAACCAGCCCAUCACACACCUUUCUGCAGGCCCCUUCCCCGCCCGGCCUCUUUCUCUACUCUUUUUGUUUAUUUUUAUUCCCCAGUCUCUCAUCUCUCACCUAUACAGUCAAGUUUCCAGCCUCUCUUUCCACCCACUGUUCAGCCAUCAGUCAGCCUAAACAUUCUACUUUCUGCCUUUCUCCCCACAAGCAACUUUGUUUGCAGAGAACCCACAGAGUUUGACAUGUUGUCUGCAGACUCUCUGUCCACAGGCUGCAGGUGUAGUGGAGCCCGCUCCAGACUGAGACAGAGGCCCAGGUUUUUACCAGGCUGUGCUGCUGCCAGCCUGGUGUGACUACCCAUCCCACCCCCUUCGAUACCUGUGCCUCAGUUUCUCCCAUGGAUAAUGGAGUGGGACUCAAUGGGAGUAACAGACUCCAAGAACAUGAAUGGGGGUGAGCAGGGACCACCAAACACGUCCUCUGCCCAUCUCAUGUCCGACCCACUCACCUCCCAAGUAACAGGCACAACUUCACCAAAUCUGUGGCCCCCCAACUGGGUGGAUAAGGCCAGGACUUGCUUCUGAUUUGCACAGCACAUCCCCCCAGCAUUGGAAUAAAAGCUGCUCAGGAUGGCCCUCGAGAUAAGGUUUUCAGAGCUCUAGGGAUCCAGACCCAAAACUGCGGGACCUCUGAGGAAGCACAGGUUCCUGCACUGAAGGCAGAGCACUGGCCAUCUAUUUUGACUCUAAAUAUUUGGAGGAAUUCUGCGAGCUGUUUUGUAAGCUGCACUGAGGUAAUGCUGUGUCAUGGAAACCAGUGCAGGCAAGAUUUCUAGGGAGAGGCAGUGUUUACCCUUGUUACAUGGACUAGAGGUCAGCAAAAGCAGAAGCCCCUCAAGAGCGUGCGCAGAGCUGCAGAGCCUUCAACACUCCAUAUGACGCCUUCAAUAGGAAGGGAGGAAGAUAAAUAACAUGGAAACAGAGAGAAUCACCUGGACCAAUUUUGGUAUUAAAAAACCUGGAAAAAGCAUUACAUGUUUGUCUUUAAUUUUUCUGCCCUCAGAGUGAAUCUUGGUCAUCGUUACAGAACUGUAGAGCUCCAAGAUGAUACCUUUUAUUUCUAAGGAUCCUGCAUGCAGUGUGAGAAGCUGGCUGACGUUGCUAGCUCCACUUCAAAGGUAAAGAAACUGAGUCAGGCAGAGAGAGCACCAGAUCUGUCUGAGCUCAGUGGAGGCGAACAAUCAGAGACUCGACUGAAUAACAGCCUCAGAAAAAGGAUGCAGUUUAGUCUUCCAGCUACGGGCUAAGGUGUCUUAUUUUUUCUAGAGUAAUAAAAAUCAGAAUUUUAAAGUAUAUUCCCUUACUUACCCUGGAGGGCUCAAGAACUCUUUCUUCUUGCUUUUUAUGACUCCGAUUUUACCUGUAGAAGUAAGUGGCACUAUAAAUCCCAAACAGCUUCCUACCUGCUGUUCUUCCCUAGUGAGGCUUGAAGUGAUUACUAGAUAUGGUUUCAGGCUCUGCAAAAUGAUAGGAAACUUAGGGAGUUUGCUUUCUUCUCAGAUUUACCAGGAAGAGAGGGUAAUUUAAAUGGCAUUUCAUUAUCUCAAAAGAGAUGACAAUAAAUAUAUUCUUCUGUUACUGAGAACAGACAAGUAAUUUCUAUUCUUGGAGAUCUUUCCAUGGGAAUUAGAGUAAAACUUCCAAGUUCAAACAUGUUGCCUUUCCUUAUUAGAAAAUCUUGUACUAAAUUGUCACUCUUUAAAACCAGUCACAGUUGAAACUCAUCUCUUCCUUAACAAUGGGUGGAGGUAGAGAGGAGAGGAAUUCAGAACCCUACAGACCCUAAUGCCCAUGAAACCCCCCUCAUGCUUGACCACUUUAGAGGCUGUCUCCCCACUACCAGAUGGGAAGAAACUGGUUGACAAUCUGCAAGUUGUCUUAAAGAGGACAGCACCUGCUCCAGGCCCCAAGUUAUUAAGAAGUACACGUUAAACCAGAAUCUCAUUACGGCUGUCAGAAUUAUAAUGAUUGACAGCUGGAAAAUCUUAUCAUGCAUUUCCGCAGGAUUGCAGCAAAGCUUUGAUUAGCAUUUAGGCAUUCACAUUUGCAGAAGCAGCAUUUUUAUUUGCUCUUAAAUAAUUUUUUAUAACACUCAGACCCAGCACUGAAAUGCUAUAGUGUACUGAUGAGGAGGCUGGUGCCACACAAAACCAAGAUGGGCUUUGUUUUGUUUCUCCUCAAUAUUAUCCUGGCUAGCAUGACCCUGGUUUCCCAUCUCUUGGAUAAAGAAGGAGCUGAACAGAAGUUAUUCAGCUUGUGAUUUGCGCCAGGAGAUGACACAGACUUGCUCUUGACCUCUAAAAAGCACUUCCAAAUUCUCAAGUGUAAUAGAAAUGAACAGCACAGAGGAUGGUUUUAAGAUAAAUAAAUCAAAGUGCCAUCUUAAUUUACAACCAAGAAGGGGCAUGUCUAUACAUUAGACUAAAUAAAACCCCAUGGUUACAAGAAAAUUAGCAUAUGGCCAGUAAAGGUAUUUUCAUAUAAUCUCGGCUUAAUAUUUAAAGUCAUUGGUAACUAAUGGUGAAAAAUGAGAUUUUUUUUCCCCAAAACUACUCCUACUGGCAGAGAAUAUGGUACUAUUGUAUCAUAAAGGCUAUGAGCUCCACUUAUUGCCAUAGUUUUUGGAAAUAGUAAUUGUGUUGGUUUUUAGCUAUUGCUUCCCAGAUCCAAAUCCACUAUUCCAUACUGUGCUUUAUGAUUCUGGCAUUGGGAUGCCAUAAAUGUCAUUUCUCCUUUUUCUAUGCUGCUAACUGAUAUAGAGAGUUUUAUUUUCCUGAUGCCUAUUGCAAAUAAAG
rnacentral:lncRNA from 1 species